rnacentral:rRNA from 1 species
GACGAACGCUGGCGGCGUGCCUAAUACAUGCAAGUUGAGCGCUGAAGGUUGGUACUUGUACCAACUGGAUGAGCAGCGAACGGGUGAGUAACGCGUGGGGAAUCUGCCUUUGAGCGGGGGACAACAUUUGGAAACGAAUGCUAAUACCGCAUAAAAACUUUAAACACAAGUUUUAAGUUUGAAAGAUGCAAUUGCAUCACUCAAAGAUGAUCCCGCGUUGUAUUAGCUAGUUGGUGAGGUAAAGGCUCACCAAGGCGAUGAUACAUAGCCGACCUGAGAGGGUGAUCGGCCACAUUGGGACUGGGACACGGCCCGAACUCCUACGGGAGGCAGCAGUAGGGAAUCUUCGGCAAUGGACGAAAGUCUGACCGAGCAACGCCGCGUGAGUGAAGAAGGUUUUCGGAUCGUAAAACUCUGUUGGUAGAGAAGAACGUUGGUGAGAGUGGAAAGCUCAUCAAGUGACGGUAACUACCCAGAAAGGGACGGCUAACUACGUG